CGGGGCAUGGCGCAGAGGUAGCGCGCACGGUUCGGGACCGUGAGGUCGCAGGUUCAAAUCCUGUUGCCCCGACCA
rnacentral:tRNA from 1 species